GUGUGUGCGUGUGACGAAAAAUGAUGGAUGAAAAACUCUGGUCUGAAGUCUUUCGUUGGUCACACACACUACCAGCAUUGCAUCUACCAGCGGAUUGUGCUACACCGAGUCUACCCAUCUCUCUCGAUCUACCAUGAUUUUUUCUGCUAUCGCACUCAUCCGGGAGUUAGGCAUCCUCAGUCUGUCCAGAACUUUCGUUGUGGAAGGAUGUGCGGGAGUGAUAUGCGAUUUCUUGUGUCCCCUACUUUCCUUGUUUACGUUUUGCGCAGUGUUGUUUCUUCUUCCAUUGUGGAAUGAUUUAUCCUAGCUAACUUGUUGAGGUGCAUGCGCCAUUCAUCAACGCCUACGUGUUGGCAUCAUCAACAAUCUUCAAAGUGGGUGACGGAAAGAAAUUGUUUUCCAGUUUUAAAAUAUUAAGCGUUCAGCACAACUCAGCCACAAAACAACGCACUGGAUUACGCUAAGAACCUGUCGAAACGCGCGCAGCCCCCGGGUGCAGUAGGAGAAAGGAAGAACGAGAGGAGAAAACUAAAGCCAGCGCGCAGCUCGGAUGGUACCCCGGAGUGUGAGUAUGCCAAAGCACGUGUUGGAAGGGAGAGAAAAAGUGUGGAAUAAACCGCAUGCGAAUGUGUGCAUACAGCAAAAAUAAA